UUGUAUCUUUCUCUCCUCUGUCUCUUUGCUGUGUACACUUUUGUCUCAGCCUCAGCACUGCCGUAUAAUGUAGCUUCUGCACAUGCUAGUGCUACAGCCUACAACCCAGGAAAAUACAAUCCAGGAAAUA